CUCCUAGUCUAGCUUUGUUAGUUCCUCUCUGAUCUGCUCUUUCCUUCUUAUUAUGUUGCCAUUGUGUUGUAUAUAACCAUGCUUUCAUCUUUGAGCAGAGGAAGCUGAGUUUUCUGACAAGAUUUGUUGCUGCAUCAUCUGAAUGAAGAGCCUUGGUCCAGCAUUAUUUAAUGAGAUUAUAGAUAUUGGCCUUUUAGCAAGCCUCAAAGAGAAACUCACACAUAAGAAAAAAUUAAAAAGAAGCAAAGGGACAAAAUAUUGAAAUAGCAAUGUUUCAAUUCACCGAUCCC
rnacentral:lncRNA from 1 species